rnacentral:piRNA from 1 species
UACAACACACACAGGGAACGCCACGGUCU